rnacentral:rRNA from 1 species
UACAGAGGGUGCGAGCGUUAAUCGGAAUUACUGGGCGUAAAGCGCGCGUAGGCGGCUUUGCAAGUCGGGUGUGAAAUCCCCAGGCUUAACCUGGGAACUGCAUUCGAGACUGCAUUGCUAGAGUAUGGGAGAGGGAAGUGGAAUUUCCGGUGUAGCGGUGAAAUGCUUAGAUAUCGGAAGGAACAUCAGUGGCGAAAGCGACUUCCUGGACCAAUACUGACGCUCAUGUGCGAAAGCGUGGGGAGCAAACAGG